GAAUAUUGGACAAUGGGCGAAAGCCUGAUCCAGCCAUGCCGCGUGUGUGAAGAAGGGCGUUGGUUUGUAAAGCACUUUAUGCGAGGAGGAGGCUACUGGGAUUAAUCCUCUAGGAUAGUGGUCGUUACUCGCAGAAUAAGCACAGGCUAACUCGGUUCCAGCGUCCGCGAUAAUACAGCGGGUGCGGGCGUUAAUCGGAUUUACUGGGCGUAAAGCGUGCGUAGGCGGCUUUUUAAGUCGGAUGUGAAAUCCCUGAGCUUAACUUAGGAAUUGCAUUCGAUACUGGGAAGCUAGAGUAUGGGAGAGGAUGGUAGAAUUCCAGGUGUAGCGGUGAAAUGCGUAGAGAUCUGGAGGAAUACCGAUGGCGAAGGCAGCCAUCUGGCCCAAUACUGACGCUGAGGUACGAAAGCAUGGGGAGCAAAC
rnacentral:rRNA from 1 species